AAGACUGUAUUUUCAAGGAUCAUUUCUAUAAUCUGUUAACUGCUGAAGUGUUCUGAGUGUGUAAGCUCCUGGUAACCUUGAAGAUGAGCACAGUGUUUCCUCCUGAGCACAGGUUGGCCUGUGGUGUUGCCUGGUGGCAGCUGCCUCUUCUCCUCAAUAAUUGGUUUUCCUUUCUUUUGGGAAAAAGAGAGAGAGCACAGGUAGAGCAGU
rnacentral:snoRNA from 1 species